rnacentral:rRNA from 1 species
UUACGGGAGGCAGCAGUAAGGAAUAUUGGACAAUGGUCGCAAGACUGAUCCAGCCAUGCCGCGUGCAGGAUGAAUGCCCUAUGGGUUGUAAACUGCUUUUGUAUGGGAAUAAACCCCUCUACGUGUAGAGGGCUGAAUGUACCAUAAGAAUAAGGGUCGGCUAACUUCGUGCCAGCAGCCGCGGUAAGACGAAGGACCCAAGCGUUAUCCGGAUUCAUUGGGUUUAAAGGGUGCGUAGGCGGGUUGAUAAGUCAGUGGUGAAAGCCCAACGCUUAACGUUGGAACUGCCAUUGAUACUGUCGAUCUUGAAUGUGUUUGAUGUGGGCGGAAUAUGACAUGUAGCGGUGAAAUGCUUAGAUAUGUCAUAGAACACCGAUUGCGAAGGCAGCUCACAAAGCCACUAUUGACGCUGAGGCACGAAAGCGUGGGGAUCAAACAGGAUUAGAUACCCUGGU